rnacentral:rRNA from 1 species
UACGGAGGGUGCAAGCGUUGUCCGGAUUUAUUGGGUUUAAAGGGCGCGUAGGCGGCCUGCUAAGUCGAACGUGAAAUCCCCGGGCUCAACCCGGGAACUGCGUCCGAUACUGGCAGGCUUGAAUCCGGGAGAGGGAUGUGGAAUUCCAGGUGUAGCGGUGAAAUGCGUAGAUAUCUGGAGGAACACCGGUGGCGAAGGCGGCAUCCUGGACCGGUAUUGACGCUGAUGCGCGAAAGCCAGGGGAGCAAACGGG